GAUGAACGCUGGCGGCGUGCCUAAUACAUGCAAGUCGAGCGAACAGACGAGGAGCUUGCUCCUUCGACGUUAGCGGCGGACGGGUGAGUAACACGUAGGUAACCUACCUAUAAGACUGGGAUAACUUCGGGAAACCGGAGCUAAUACCGGAUAAUAUUUCGAACCGCAUGGUUCGAUAGUGAAAGAUGGCUUUGCUAUCACUUAUAGAUGGACCUGCGCCGUAUUAGCUAGUUGGUAAGGUAACGGCUUACCAAGGCAACGAUACGUAGCCGACCUGAGAGGGUGAUCGGCCACACUGGAACUGAGACACGGUCCAGACUCCUACGGGAGGCAGCAGUAGGGAAUCUUCCGCAAUGGGCGAAAGCCUGACGGAGCAACGCCGCGUGAGUGAUGAAGGUCUUCGGAUCGUAAAACUCUGUUAUUAGGGAAGAACAAACGUGUAAGUAACUGUGCACGUCUUGACGGUACCUAAUCAGAAAGCCACGCCUAACUACGU
rnacentral:rRNA from 1 species